GAUUCUUUACCACUGAGCCUCUCCAUACUUCCUCCCAAUUCUCAGAAACAGGCCAGUCUUGUGGGUGAGCUCUUCACAGAGAAUACGCCAAGAAAUGGGCACUAAACACUGGAUACUAAGCCUGGAAGGACAGAGGACCUGGAGCAGGGCCCAGCUCUCCCAGCAUCCCUUCAAGUGGAGGCUCCAGACGCGCCAGCUCAGGAAGAGUCGUGCCCACAGGUUCUGGGAUCACAACAGCAUGGAGGUUGUUUUAUGCCACUAAGUCUGUGAUGAAACAAACUGAAUGUGUGCCUGUCGCAACAAAUAUUGGUUACACAAGUUGAAUGGAUGGCCUUACAAAGUAGGAGGAAUUUCAUCCCUCGCCCAAUCUCCACAUCCAGCAUCACUGCCGUCUUCUCAGCCAAACAGGAAUGCCUCUUCCCCUCUCACUGAAGUUUGUCUGUAUCUGUGCUUCCCUCCUCCCGGGCCUUCAGCCUGGGAUGUCCUUCACUGACCCCUUGAUGAACUUGCACCCCGUUAGCCUUUUAACAGUCAGCUCAGGCAUCACCUCUCCCAGCUGGAACCGCUUUACCUUCCCAUGAACUCCACCUGAGCCUGCCUGUAGCACUUCGCAUGGGUACCAGGGCCCGUGGAUGUCUGUAUCACCUCCGGAUGCGUGUCUCACCUCCUUCAUCCAUGUGAGAUUCUUGGGAGGACUGGGGCACCAUGUGCCCUGCUCACUUCUUUUCUAGUUUCACCAUCCCUGCCCAUGGGCAACCUCAGACACAGAGGGGUAUUGGGAGUUUGAGACCCUGGAGGCGGGGUUGGGAUAGGAGAAGAUGUCAGGAGAACCCCAUCCUCAGAUUCGGAUACCUACUAUAGUAGUGGCAGAAAGAAUACAGUUCUUGGAUCAGAGAAUCUGGGUCACCUCCUGGCUAAGUCUUCACCGAGGAAGCUUUAAAUUCUUUAAGCUUUGGUUUAUUCAUCUAUGAAAAUUCUUACAGUGCAAGGAUAUUGUG
ensembl:lncRNA